rnacentral:lncRNA from 1 species
UUCUUUUUCUACAUCUGUUUCAGAGAUGAUGAUGUCUACAGUCUGGGAAGCUGCUGUCCCUGAGGUCCUGGGGAUUGAACUCACAUAGUCAGGAUUGGCAGCAAGUGCCUUUAUCUGCUGAGCUACCACACUGCUCCCUACCCCAAGCCAGGUGUCAUUUACAAUUACAUAAAAAGAUGUUAUGUGAAGGGAUAAACAGAGAAAAAAAAGGUAUGCAGAAGUUGCUCAAUAAUGGUAACAGCUGCUAUUACUGUUAUUGAAGUUCUUACUGUCACAGAAAUUAGGGGUGGCAGGAAAGGAGGAGACAUUACCUCUGGACUGCCACCAUCUUCAUCCUAAGGCAUCCUAGCAUGAACAAUCUUGAUCAACAAAUCCCAUGAGGGCCUCAAGUUUCAGUUAUGUUAGCUUGUAAGUAUGGUGGGACUCCAUUUGUGACAUCCUUAGAUGGCUUCUCCUGGAGCUUAGAUUCCAGAUAUGGUUUUCAGCCACCGUGGGAGAAAUCUUUUAGUUUCCUAAACUUCUUUUUGCCUGCGCUAGAUGAUAGUUGAACUAUGUGUCAAUCAAAUCUAAGAGGUAGAACCAUUUGAAUCUCUGAAUGACCCCCUCUUGUGGCUCCUCUCUUUCCUUGCACACACUCCUGACUAACACCCACUUACCUCAUCGGGUGCUCUUUUUGUAAUUAAUAACUUGAUGUGGGGGCUACACAAGUAGGAAGCCACUGCUUUUUUUGUCUUUCU